ensembl:lncRNA
AGGAAAGCAAGUGACUAAAUAGACUAAGAACAAGGAUCUGCGAAUCGUGUAACAUCACAUACGCAAAGAAAAGUAGCCUGUGGCAAAGAAAACACAUUGUCACCAGCUAAGAGAGCUGCUGCUGGACGGAAGGCUCUAAUGGCUUUGCUAGAGAUGUCAACAGCUUUUGGAGAGAUGGAGAGCAUCAGCAUGAAACAAGAGCCUUAGAUCAAAAUAGCAACGUUCUGGCAUUUAAGGUCCUCUGCAAUGUGAAUCCAUUAAUGUUGAGGCACAACUGACCAUACACAAUUAGAAGGAAAUAAACAAGAUAGCCUCUCAGUUCCUCUAUCACCAAGAGAAACAGCAACAACUCAACUGCUGAUUAGGAGCAAGGACGGCAGCUCAGAAGUCUGUUGACUGCUCUUCAGCUCCUGGACACAUAAAACCAUCGGGAUUCGUCUGAGAACUUCAGAAUUGCUGGAGAUGGCCCCCACAUCUAGAUGGUCUUUUUCCUGAAGACCUUUUAGAAAACCCAACAGAUGGAUGCAGGGCACCAAGGGGACUAAAGAAUGACCACUGUGAAGGACAGCAAGAAGGUCCCGUUUAAGAAGCAGAGCUGGUGUGCCGGGGGCUCAGCAACAAGCCAUGUCUGGACAAGAAGUUGACAACGAGAUUCAAGACAAAGAAGAGGAAGUCCCGGGACGGAAAAUAUUCAGGGUGGAAAUUCCUCUGCUUUACUGUCGUGAAAAUGAAAAGUGAGCCGUGGACUGGGAGAAAAAUAUGUGCAAAACAUAUCCAGUAAAAGACUUGUAUCUGGAUAUAGAAAAAAUUCUUAUAAUUCGAUAAGAAGAAGACAAAUGACCAAUUGAAAAGGAAGAUAUACAGAUGGCAUUUAGGUACAUGAAAGAUACUCACUAGUCAUCAGGGAAAGGAAAAUUUAAAACCACAAGGAGAUAUUACUACUACCCAGUAGCAUGGCUAAAAUUAAAAAGACUGACCUACAAAGUGUUGGCAAAAAUGUGGAGAAAUUGAAAUUGUCAUGCACUGCUGGUAGGAAUGUAAAAUGGUAAAAACACUUUGGAAAACAAGUCAGAAGUUUCAUACAUAGUUAAACAUACACCUUCCCAACCAUAUAACCUAGCCAUUCGACUCCUGGGUAGAGAGAUGUGAUCAUAUAACCACCCAAAGACUUGUAGACCAAGGUUCAGAGUUGCUUUCUUUGUAAUAUCCCAAACAGAAACACUUCAAAUGUCCAUCACUAGAUCAAUGGAUAAACAAUUGUAGUAUAUUCUUACUGUGGUAUACUAUGCAACAAAAAGAAGGAAUGGACUAUCAAUGUAUGUGACAACAUGGAUGAAUCUUGAAAUAAUUGUGCUGAGUGAAACAAACCAGACAAAAAAGAGUAAUAUUGUAUGAUUCACUUAUAUAAAAUUCUAGAAACUACAAACCUAUCUAGAGGGCUAUAAAGCAGAUCAGUGGUUGCCUGAAGGUGAGGAAGGGGUGAGAGGCGAGAAAGCAGAGGGUUACUGGGGGUACCAGGAAACUUUUGGGGGUGGUGAAAAUGUUCCUUAUCUUGGCUGUGCUGAUGGACUCAUGAGCGUACACAUAUGCCAAAUGCAUCAAGUUUGACAUUUUAUGCACGUACAGUUUGUUGGGCUUCUAUUGUAGAUUAAGAUAGCAUUCUAAAAAGGAAAUGACCAUAUCUCCAAAGUCUCCACUAUUAAAUUACAACAAGAUCUAAAUUUCUACUUUAAUUCAAAAAUUCCAGUGUAUACCCACAUGAAAUGUGAAAUCAUAAUUGAGACAUCAAAAAAUAGUGACAGUAACCUACAAUACCACAAAAAAAUGGGAGCAUACCUGAGUCCAUUUAUAUUUAAAGGAUGAGUUAGAUGAAAGGAGUAUUAUGAUGGAGCAGAAGACAAAAUCAUUAGUUGACAACAGUCCAGGAAAAUGUCCUAAAAUAUGAAUGCCUGAGUUAAAACUCCAGUCCCAACAAUUACUGUUCUGAAGGAUUGUAAUCAAUUAUUUCAACAUCUGUGAGCCUAAAGAAUUUUUAUAAAAUAUAUAAAAUAGUAAUACUAAAAAUGUCUACAAC